UAAUACAUGCAAGUCGAGCGAGCGGAACUAACAGAUUUACUUCGGUAAUGACGUUAGGAAAGCGAGCGGCGGAUGGGUGAGUAACACGUGGGGAACCUGCCCCAUAGUCUGGGAUACCACUUGGAAACAGGUGCUAAUACCGGAUAAGAAAGCAGAUCGCAUGAUCAGCUUUUAAAAGGCGGCGUAAGCUGUCGCUAUGGGAUGGCCCCGCGGUGCAUUAGCUAGUUGGUAAGGUAAAGGCUUACCAAGGCGAUGAUGCAUAGCCGAGUUGAGAGACUGAUCGGCCACAUUGGGACUGAGACACGGCCCAAACUCCUACGGGAGGCAGCAGUAGGGAAUCUUCCACAAUGGACGCAAGUCUGAUGGAGCAACGCCGCGUGAGUGAAGAAGGUUUUCGGAUCGUAAAGCUCUGUUGUUGGUGAAGAAGGAUAGAGGUAGUAACUGGCCUUUAUUUGACGGUAAUCAACCAGAAAGUCACGGCUAACUACGUGCCAGCAGCCGGGGUAAUAC
rnacentral:rRNA from 1 species